UCUGCGUCUUUAUUCCUGUCCUGCCCCUAGGUUCUUCAUAACCAUUUUUUAAAAUUAAUUUUUAAUUACAUCAGUAACACAUGAAUACUUUCUCCUUCCAAAUAUUAAAACACUACUGGUAAGGAUAAAGUCUUGGACAAACGUCCAAGCAAAAGAUA